AUGGCCUGACGAUUGCCUUCCUUAAUGAGGCGGAAAAAGCGGCCAUUCGGGCGAAGGUGCAGUAAACAACAAGGCCGCUGAUUCAGCGGCCUUUUUUUU
rnacentral:sRNA from 1 species